rnacentral:rRNA from 1 species
GAUGAACGCUCGCGGCAGGCCUAACACAUGCAAGUCGAGGGAGGAGCUUUCGGGCUUCGACCGGCGUACGGGUGCGUAACGCGUAUACAAUCUGCCUUUCACAUAGGGAUAGCCCGAAGAAAUUUGGAUUAAUACCUAAUGGUAUAUAGGAGUGGCCUCACAUUUAUAUUAAGGCUGAGGCGGUGAAAGAUGAGUAUGCGUUCUAUUAGCUAGUUGGAGAGGUAACGGCUCCCCACGGCGACGAUAGAUAGGGGUUCUGAGAGGGAUAUCCCCCACACUGGUACUGGGAUACGGGCCAGACUCAUACGGCAGGCAGCCGUGAGGGAUAUAGGACUAGGGUCGGUAGACUGAUCCAGCCAUGCCGGAUGCAGGAAGGCCGCCUUAGGGGUUGUAAACUGCUUUUGCAGGGGAAGAAUAAGGACUACGAGUAGUUUGAUGACGGUACUCUGCGAAUAAGCAUCGGCUAACUCCGUG